rnacentral:rRNA from 1 species
UAGCGAUAGGCUUAACACAUGCAAGUCGAGGGGCAGCACGGUGUAGCAAUACACUGGUGGCGACCGGCGUACGGGUGCGUAACACGUAUGCAACCUACCCGCUAUUGGGGGAUAACCCGGCGAAAGUCGGACUAAUACCCCAUAUUAUUCUUACCGGGCAUCCGGUAGGUCUGAAAGAUUUAUCGAUUGCGGAUGGGCAUGCGGAUGAUUAGCUAGUAGGUGGGGUAACGGCUCACCUAGGCGACGAUCGUUAGGGGUUCUGAGAGGAAGGUCCCCCCACACUGGAACUGAGACACGGUCCAGACUCCUACGGGAGGCAGCAGUGAGGAAUAUUGGUCAAUGGGCGCUAGCCUGAACCAGCCAAGUCGCGUGAAGGAUGACAAGAUCUAUGGUUUGUAAACUUCUUUUGCAGGGGAGUAAAGUGCGACACGUGUGUUGUAUUGCAAGUACCCUGCGAAUAAGCAUCGGCUAACUCCGUGCCAGCAGCCGC